UGGUACACAUCGCAAGCAUGGCUGAG
rnacentral:piRNA from 1 species